GGGCAACCUGCCCUGUAGACUGGGAUAACUUCGGGAAACCGGAGCUAAUACCGGAUAAUCCAUUUCAUCUCAUGGUGAAAUGUUGAAAGAUGCGUUUGCAUCACUACAGGAUGGGCCCGCGGUGCAUUAGCUAGUUGGUGAGGUAACGGCUCACCAAGGCGACGAUGCGUAGCCGACCUGAGAGGGUGAUCGGCCACACUGGGACUGAGACACGGCCCAGACUCCUACGGGAGGCAGCAGUAGGGAAUCUUCCACAAUGGGCGAAAGCCUGAUGGAGCAACGCCGCGUGAGUGAAGAAGGAUUUCGGUUCGUAAAACUCUGUUGUAAGGGAAGAACAAGUACAGUAGUAACUGGCUGUACCUUGACGGUACCUUAUUAGAAAGCCACGGCUAACUACGUGCCAGCAGCCGCGGUAAUACGUAGGUGGCAAGCGUUGUCCGGAAUUAUUGGGCGUAAAGGGCUCGCAGGCGGUUUCUUAAGUCUGAUGUGAAAGCCCACGGCUCAAC
rnacentral:rRNA from 1 species